rnacentral:ncRNA from 1 species
AAAAAACCGUUGAGAAAGAGGAGUAAUUCUUAUACGAUAUCACAGAGAGCUGCUGUUGGUGGGAAUGCAGUAUGGAGUGUAUGAAUGAAUGGGCUUUCGAGGGCAACCCCGAAUAUUUAGUAGGCGUUGACGGGAACCAUACCUGUUACAAAUAUGGCACAUAUGAUAGUAUGUGAAAAGAGUGGGCAUUAGCCAAUUUGAGUGGUACCGCGGAAUUGUUAGAAUCCGUCUCAGGA